rnacentral:rRNA from 2 species
AUAUAACUAAGCGGAGGAAAAGAAACUAACAAGGAUUCCCCCAGUAACGGCGAGUGAAGCGGGAAGAGCUCACGUUGUGAAUCUGGCCCUCGGGCCCGAACUGUACUCUGGAGAGGCGAGGCCAGCCGCUGUCCGCGGCCAAGUCUGAUUGGAAAUGAGCAUCAAGGAGGGUGACAAUCCCGUCCAUGCCGCGGUAUCGAUCAGCGCGCGUCCGGCCCGCUUUCGACGAGUCGAGUUGCUUGGGAUUGCAGCUCAAAGAGGGUGGUAAACUCCAUCCAAAGCUAAACACGGGGGGGAGACCGAUAGCGAACAAGUACCGUGAGGGAAAGAUGCAAAGAACUUUGAAAAGAGAGUUAAAGAGUGCCUGAAAUUGCUGGAAGGGAAGCGAAGGAAAGAAGUGUGCGGUUGCCCGGGCGCCAACCCCUACCUGUCCGCAGGUGGGGGUAGGCCGCCCGGCCGCGGUCAGGGGUUGCGCCGGGCUCGGGGGAAGAGCCGUCGGGGAUCGGUAGGCGUGCCGCCGCUUCGGCGGGGCGCUGUCAGGCCCCGGUGGUGAUUUGUUUUUGCCCUGAGCCCGGCCCCCUUCUGGCGGUCGCGGCUUUUCUUCACCCCGUCUUGAAACACGGACCAAGGAGUCUAGCGUGGACGCGAGUAGAGGGGUGUCGAAACCCCCUUGCGCAAUGAAGGUGAACGCCGGUGGGAGGCCGUCCGGUUCUGGGCGGCCAGCACCAUCGACCGAGCGUGCUCCUCCGGGGGCAAGGCUUGAGUGUGAGCGUGCAUGCUGGGACCCGAAAGAUGGUGAACUAUGCCUGAAUAGGGCGAAGCCAGGGGAAACUCUGGUGGAGGCUCGUAGCGAUUCUGACGUGCAAAUCGAUCGUGAGAUUUGGGUAUAGGGGCGAAAGACUAAUCGAACCAUCUAGUAGCUGGUUCCCUCCGAAAUUUCCCUCAGGAUAGCAGCGGCCGAUUGUUAACAGUUUUAUCAGGUAAAGCGAAUGAUUAGAGGCUGCGGGGGAGUAACUCCCUCGCCCUAUUCUCAAACUUUAAAUGGGUAAGGAGCCGGGGUCGCUUGAUUGGACCCUCGGCGGCGGCGGCGGCGGCGGCU